rnacentral:rRNA from 1 species
CCUACGGGAGGCAGCAGUGAGGAAUAUUGGUCAAUGGGCGAGAGCCUGAACCAGCCAAGUCGCGUGAGGGAGUACUGCCCUAUGGGUUGUAAACCUCUUUUGUCGGGGAGCAAAAGCCGGACGUGUCCGGCUGUGAGAGUACCCGAAGAAAAAGCAUCGGCUAAGACCGUGCCAGCAGCCGCGGUAAUACGGAGGAUGCGAGCGUUAUCCGGAUUUAUUGGGGUUAAAGGGUGCGCAGGCGGAUUUUUAAGUCAGCGGUCAAAUCGUGGGGCUCAACCCCAUCCAGCCGUUGAAACUGGGGAUCUAGAGUGUGCGAGAGGUAUGCGGAAUGCGUGGUGUAGCGGUGAAAUGCAUAGAUAUCACGCAGAACCCCGAUUGCGAAGGCAGCAUACCGGUGCACAACUGACGCUCAGGCACGAAAGCGUGGGUAUCGAACAGGAUUAGAUACCCUAGUAGUC